rnacentral:rRNA from 1 species
GACAAACGCUGGCGGCGUGCCUAACACAUGCAAGUCGAACGGGGAGUAGUUCUUCGGGACUAUUCUGAGUGGCGGACGGGUGAGUAACACGUGGGCAACGUAUCCUUGGGUGGGGGAUAACCUCCAGAAAUGGGGGGUAAUACCGCAUGAGGUGGCAGGCGGAGGGGCCUGUCAGGAAAGCUAUCCUGCAAGGGAUGGCGCCGGGGGANCGGCCUGCGCCCGAUUAGCUAGUUGGUGGGGUAAGAGCCUACCAAGGCGACGAUCGGUAGCUGGUCUGAGAGGAUGAUCAGCCACACUGGGAUUGAGAACGGCCCAGACUCCUACGGGGGGCAGCAGUGAGGGGAUCUUCGGCAAAUGGGGGCAACCCUGACCGAGCAACGCCGCGUGUGGGACGACGGCC